rnacentral:rRNA from 1 species
ACCAUGCAAGUCGAGGGGCAGCAUGAAUAUUGGCUUGCCAAUAUUUGAUGGCGACCGGCGCACGGGUGAGUAACACGUAUCCAACCUUCCGGUUACUCGGGGAUAGGCUUUCGAAAGAAAGAUUAAUACCCGAUGUUGUGUAUCUUUCUCCUGAAAGAUACGCCAAAGGAUUCCGGUAACCGAUGGGGAUGCGUUCCAUUAGGCAGUUGGCGGGGUAACGGCCCACCAAACCUUCGAUGGAUAGGGGUUCUGAGAGGAAGGUCCCCCACAUUGGAACUGAGACACGGUCCAAACUCCUACGGGAGGCAGCAGUGAGGAAUAUUGGUCAAUGGACGGAAGUCUGAACCAGCCAAGUAGCGUGAAGGAUGACUGCCCUCUGGGUUGUAAACUUCUUUUAUACGGGAAUAACAUGAGGUACGCGUACCUUAUUGCAUGUACCGUUAUGAAUAAGCAUCGGCUAACUCCGUGCCAGCAGCCGCGGUAAUACGGAGGAUGCGAGCGUUAUCCGGAUUUAAUUGGGUUUAAAGGGAGCGUAGGUGGGAUAUUAAGUCAGCUGUGAAAGUUUGGGGCUCAACCUUAAAAAUUGCAGUUGAUACUGGUUUCCUUGAGUACGGUACAGGUGGGCGGAAUUCGUGGUGUAGCGGUGAAAUGCUUAGAUAUCACGAAGAACUCCGAUCGCGAAGGCAGCUCACCGGGCCGGAACUGACACUGAUGCUCGAAAGUGCGGGUAUCAAACAGGAUUAGAUACCCUGGUAGUCCCGCACAGUAAACGAUGAAUACUCGCUGUUUGCGAUACACAGUAAGCGGCCAAGCGAAAGCGUUAAGUAUUCCACCUGGGGAGUACGCCGGCAACGGUGAAACUCAAAGGAAUUGACGGGGGCCCGCACAAGCGGAGGAACAUGUGGUUUAAUUCGAUGAUACGCGAGGAACCUUACCCGGGCUUAAAUUGCGCUGGCUUUUACCGGAAACGGUAUUUUCUUCGGACCAGCGUGAAGGUGCUGCAUGGUUGUCGUCAGCUCGUGCCGUGAGGUGUCGGCUUAAGUGCCAUAACGAGCGCAACCCUUAUCUUUAGUUACUAACAGUUUUGCUGAGGACUCUAAAGAGACUGCCGUCGUAAGAUGCGAGGAAGGUGGGGAUGACGUCAAAUCAGCACGGCCCUUACGUCCGGGGCUACACACGUGUUACAAUGGGGAGCACAGCAGGUUGCUACACGGCGACGUGAUGCCAAUCCGUAAAACUCCUCUCAGUUCGGAUCGAAGUCUGCAACCCGACUUCGUGAAGCUGGAUUCGCUAGUAAUCGCGCAUCAGCCACGGCGCGGUGAAUACGUUCCCGGGCCUUGUACACACCGCCCGUCAAGCCAUGAAAGCCGGGGGUACCCUGAAGUACGUAACCGCGAGGAUCUCCUAGGUAACCUGUUUCNAA